GAUGAACGCUAGCGGCAGGCUUAACACAUGCAAGUCGAGGGGUAUAGUUCUUCGGAGCUAGAGACCGGCGCACGGGUGCGUAACGCGUAUGCAAUCUACCUUUUGCAGAGGGAUAGCCCAGAGAAAUUUGGAUUAAUACCUCAUGGUAUGUGAAAAUGGCAUCAUUUUCACAUUAAAGUCACAACGGCAAAAGAUGAGCAUGCGUCCCAUUAGCUAGUUGGUAAGGUAACGGCUUACCAAGGCAACGAUGGGUAGGGGUCCUGAGAGGGAGAUCCCCCACACGGGUACUGCGACACGGACCAGACUCCUACGGGAGGCAGCAGUGAGGAAUAUUGGACAAUGGGCGCAAGCCUGAUCCAGCCAUGCCGCGUGCAGGAUGACGGUCCUAUGGAUUGUAAACUGCUUUUGUACAGGAAGAAACACUGGUUCGUGAACCAGCUUGACGGUACUGUAAGAAUAAGGAUCGGCUAACUCCGUGCCAGCCGCCGCAGUAAUAC
rnacentral:rRNA from 1 species